rnacentral:rRNA from 1 species
UACGUAGGGUGCAAGCGUUGUCCGGAAUUACUGGGCGUAAAGAGCUCGUAGGUGGUUUGUCGCGUUGUCCGUGAAAACUCACAACUCAAUUGUGGGCGUGCGGGCGAUACGGGCAGACUGGAGUACUGCAGGGGAGACUGGAAUUCCUGGUGUAGCGGUGGAAUGCGCAGAUAUCAGGAGGAACACCGGUGGCGAAGGCGGCUCUCUGGACGAUAACUGACGCUGAGACGCGAAAGCGUGGGGAGCAAACAGG